rnacentral:rRNA from 1 species
UACGUAGGGGGCAAGCGUUAUCCGGAUUUACUGGGUGUAAAGGGAGCGUAGACGGCAGUGCAAGUCUGGAGUGAAAGGCGGGGGCUCAACCCCCGGACUGCUCUGGAAACUGUACGGCUGGAGUGCAGGAGAGGUAAGUGGAAUUCCUAGUGUAGCGGUGAAAUGCGUAGAUAUUAGGAGGAACACCAGUGGCGAAGGCGGCUUACUGGCCUGUAACUGACACUGAAGCUCGAAAGCGUGGGGAGCAAACAGG